rnacentral:rRNA from 1 species
CACUCCUGCGGGAGGCAGCAGUGGGGAAUAUUGGACAAUGGGCGCAAGCCUGAUCCAGCCAUGCCGCGUGAGUGAUGAAGGCCCUAGGGUUGUAAAGCUCUUUCACCGGUGAAGAUAAUGACGGUAACCGGAGAAGAAGCCCCGGCUAACUUCGUGCCAGCAGCCGCGGUAAUACGAAGGGGGCUAGCGUUGUUCGGAUUUACUGGGCGUAAAGCGCACGUAGGCGGACUAUUAAGUCAGGGGUGAAAUCCCGGGGCUCAACCCCGGAACUGCCUUUGAUACUGGUAGUCUUGAGUUCGAGAGAGGUUAGUGGAAUUCCGAGUGUAGAGGUGAAAUUCGUAGAUAUUCGGAGGAACACCAGUGGCGAAGGCGGCUCACUGGCUCGAUACUGACGCUGAGGUGCGAAAGCGUGGGGAGCAAACAGGAUUAGAAACCCCAGUAGUCCCAUG